UACGAAGGGGGCUAGCGUUGCUCGGAAUUACUGGGCGUAAAGCGCACGUAGGCGGUUCGCCAAGUCGGAUGUGAAAGCCCUGGGCUCAACCCAGGAAGUGCAUUCGAAACUAGCGGACUUGAGUAUGGAAGAGGGUCGCGGAAUUCCCGGUGUAGAGGUGAAAUUCGUAGAUAUCGGGAGGAACACCAGUGGCGAAGGCGGCGACCUGGGCCAAUACUGACGCUGAGGUGCGAAAGCGUGGGGAGCAAACAGG
rnacentral:rRNA from 1 species